rnacentral:rRNA from 1 species
GAUGAACGCUAGCGAUAGGCCUAACACAUGCAAGUCGAGGGGCAUCACAUGAAGUAGCAAUACGGAUGGUGGCGACCGGCGCACGGGUGAGUAACACGUAUGCAACCUGCCUUCAACAAGGGGAUAACCCGUUGAAAGACGGACUAAUACCCUAUAACACAGGGGUCCCGCAUGGGAAUAUUUGUUAAAGGACAACCGGUUGAAGAUGGGCAUGCGUUCCAUUAGCUAGUUGGCGGGGUAACGGCCCACCAAGGCAACGAUGGAUAGGGGAACUGAGAGGUUUAUCCCCCACACUGGUACUGAGACACGGACCAGACUCCUACGGGAGGCAGCAGUGAGGAAUAUUGGUCAAUGGACGCAAGUCUGAACCAGCCACGUCGCGUGAAGGAAGACGGCCCUACGGGUUGUAAACUUCUUUUAUACGGGAAUAAAGUGCCCCACGCGUGGGGUUUUGCAUGUACCGUAUGAAUAAGGAUCGGCUAACUCCGUGCCAGCAGCCGCGGUAAUUACGCAGCGA